UAAAGGAUGGACCCGCGGUGCAUUAGCUAGUUGGUAAGGUAACGGCUUACCAAGGCAGUGAUGCAUAGCCGAGUUGAGAGACUGAUCGGCCACAAUGGGACUGAGACACGGUCCAUACUCCUACGGGAGGCAGCAGUAGGGAAUCUUCCACAAUGGGCGCAAGCCUGAUGGAGCGACACCGCGUGAGUGAAGAAGGGUUUCGGCUCGUAAAGCUCUGUUGUUGAAGAAGAACGUGCGUGAGAGUAACUGUUCAUGCAGUGACGGUAUUCAACCAGAAAGUCACGGCUAACUACGUGCCAGCAGCCGCGGUAAUACGUAGGUGGCAAGCGUUAUCCGGAUUUAUUGGGCGUAAAGCGAGCGCAGGCGGUUU
rnacentral:rRNA from 1 species